rnacentral:misc_RNA from 1 species
AACCUUUGCUGUCUUGGGACGGAUCACCACUGCAAGAGGGGAAGUUGCUACUGUGAUGAAUUCUGCCAUGUGGCACCAGACUGCCACCCAGACCACAGUGUCCUCUGCAACCCUGGUAACUCACAUACAGGCCCGAUUCCACCGACAGCAAAGCUGGAUGCUAUGGCUGGCAGAGGCAAACCCUUUGCCUGCACUUCAGGCCAAAGCCGGGAUGUGGCCUAGAUGGUUCCUAAGGUCCCUGACAAUCCUGAGAUCUUGCAUCUUGUCUAUUUCAGGUCAAAGCUUCUCAGAUGACCAAGAUGGUGCUGCAGAUGGUGCUGAGGAUGGAGAACCCACCAAGCCCCGCUAGGAGCCACCUAGACUGGAUGCAGAGCAUGGCCCCAGCACCCGCAGAGCAGACACUGCGAUGACAACGGACGACACAGAAGUGCCCGCUAUGACUCUAGCACCGGGCCACGCCGCUCUGGAAACUCAAACGCUGAGCGCUGAGACCUCUUCUAGGGCCUCAACCCCAGCCGGCCCCAUUCCAGAAGCAGAGACCAGGGGAGCCAAGAGAAUUUCCCCUGCAAGAGAGACCAGGAGUUUCACAAAAACAUCUCCCAACUUCAUGGUGCUGAUCGCCACCUCCGUGGAGACAUCAGCCGCCAGUGGCAGCCCCGAGGGAGCUGGAAUGACCACAGUUCAGACCAUCACAGGCAGUGAUCCCGAGGAAGCCAUCUUUGACACCC